rnacentral:rRNA from 1 species
ACAUACGACCAUAGCCCGUGGGAACCUGAGGGUCCCGUCUGCUCCCCUGUACAUAAACCACGGAGCGCCGGUGUUAGUAGUUGGGUCGGUGACGACCAGCGAAUCCCCGGUGUUGUAUGUC